rnacentral:rRNA from 1 species
AAACGAUGUUAGCUUGCUAACAGGCGUCGAGUGGCGGACGGGUGAGUAACGCGUAGGAAUCUACCAAAUAGCGGGGGAUAGCCCGGAGAAAUCCGGAUUAAUACCGUAUAAUCUCUACCGGAGUAAAGAGGGCCUCUAUUUAUAAGCUUUUCACUAUUUGAUGAGCCUGCGUAAAGAUUAGCUUGUUGGUGAGGUAAAAGCUCACCAAGGCGACGAUCUUUAGCUGGUCUGAGAGGAUGAUCAGCCCACACUGGGACUGAGACACGGCCCAGACUCC